UCUCAGCAUUGUUGUUUAAAUAAUUCCAUACUGCUAUUUCAAUGAAUAGUGUGCAUUGAAAUAUCAGUGUGGAAUUACGUCAAACAGGGCAGUGAAUGCUAUAUCACUGGCUGGAAUUUUGGAGUUGGGGGAAUCUCAGUGUAUUGUUUAUUGUAUAUUUGUGAAUUGUGAUGCAUCAGUCAGGUUUAACAACUGUUGUAUUGUGCCAUUUUGCAGGAAAGUGACCUCUGGGUCACCUCUGUUGAGGAACACCACCUGCCUGUGCCUCCUCCUCAUCCUCCUCCUCCUGAAUUACCUGAGGAAGAUGACAACUACUUUGCAGAUGAUGAAGAUGAGCCCAUGGAAGAAGGAGACUGAUUUUUAUAGUUCAAUGAAGGCAUGGAUUUGUUCAUAAAGGAAGUUUUAAAUUCUACAUUCAGCAGUCAGACAAAUAUGGCCUCUUUAGUUAUAACAUUAACAUUGAAUUGAAAUCCUUUCUGUA